GGGGUUGUAGCUCAGUGGCUGAGUGCUUGCCUAGCAUGUGUGGGGCACUGGGUUUGAUCCCAGCACCCCA
rnacentral:tRNA from 1 species